rnacentral:lncRNA from 1 species
UAGAGAGAAGAGAGCACAGUACCUUCCAAGUCAGAGAAGAGUGGAAGUGAAAGCCCGGAGGAGAUGAAGACAAAGGCGUGUGCAGGAAUGUGGAAGAUCUAUGUGUCUGGAUGGUGGAGAGCUUUUCCACAAUGUGAUUUACUGCCGGUAAUUGCUAUGCCUUGAAUCUGGAAUGUUCCCCCCGGCUGAUGUAAAAGGUUUCAAUCCCCAGCCCAUGAUCCUUUAGGAAUGUUACGAACCUUUAGAGAGUAAGGCAUAGUGGAAAGAAGUGG